UACAAUCUCUUAGGGAAAAUUUCAACCAAACUUUCCAUACAGUAACGUCACUUCGAAAAAGCUUCAGCCAAGCUUCCAAUUUCAUAGUUACAUCAAUUUUAAUCGCAUAAGGAAAAGGUUUCAGCCAAGUUGUUCUCUCCAUAAGCAAAAUUAUUGCUUCGAGCGUUUCAUAUAAUUUGUUUCGUAUUUUAUCGCAAUUAAUGUGUGUUAGAGAAUUGUCAAGAAAAUCGACUCAGGUAUGUUAAGCUAUUCUUUCUUUCUUAUUGGCAUGAUCAAAAUUAUAUUGAAAAAACGAGUUAAUACACAAUUUCUAUAAAUUACUUUAUUCAUAGAAAUAGUAGGGGUGUCUAUAUUCUUGAUUUCCCAUGAGAAUUAUCAUUAUCAUCUGUUCAUCGGUCUCAGAGUAAUACGCAAUUGGAAAAGUUUAUCGGGUAGAAAUAUCGAGAUUAUUAUGUAUUUUUCAUGUAUUUCACUCACUUAUACAUGUGCAUUGACCCAUGAUCAGAUGGUGCUAUAUACGUGUAUAUAUGUAAAUAUAUAUAUAUAUAUCUGGGAUAUGGGAAAAUGUUACGACAUUAUAUAUAUAUAUAUAUAUAUAUAUAUAUAUAUAUAUAUGGAAAAGUUAUAGCGUUAUGUACGUACCACCACCCGAUCAGCUGGUAUACGAUGAUGAUUUUGCCCAUAGUGGCCAAUAUGAUAUGAUGAGAUGCCCUAAAAGGCUAAUGAUGUUAUGAAACAUGUACCUAUGCACGACAUGACAUUCAUACGCAUAUGCGUGAUGCUAAAAUUAAUUUAUGAUUCAUAAAAUUAUUCACACUUGCAGGUUGAGUCACGUACUCUAGGUUUCUUCCAUGUCUCUUAUGUACUUAUUUAUGUACCUUACAUAUUCGGUACAUUAUAUUUACUGACGUACCUUUUGCUUGGGGACGCUACGUUUCAUGCCCGGAGGUCCUGAUAGAGAGGUUGGUAGCCCUCCAAGUAGGCUAUCAGCUCAGCGGAAGAUGUUGAUGUGCUCCAUUUACUUCGGAGUUGCUUGUUUAGUUAGUAUGAUUUAGACGUGUAUUGUUUGGUAUAGCGGGACUCUAUCCCGACCUUUAUGACAUUUAUGUACUCUUUGAGGCUUGUAGACAUAUGUCGUAUACGUGAAAGAUUUUACAGCCUUGUCGGCAUAUAUUUGAGUUUCUAAAUGAUUAUUUUGGCCUAUUAGGCCCGUAUGUCACUUGUAUAUAAUGAUGUAAUAAGAAAGAUACAUUACGUUGAUAAUCGAUCGAGUAAGGUACCGGGUGCCCGUCGCGGCCCAUCGGUUUGGGUCGUUACAGGGGUAAGGUCUUUGGUGCCUAAACUCGUUAUUAGGUGAUUUUUAUCAUUAUAAACAUGGAGAAAUUAUGGAAAAUCAGUGGUAAAUUGAGGAGAGGGCUUGACUAAUUAGAGGUCUUUGAGUGAUAAUUUGAGAGAUCAAUUGAGGUCCGAUUUUGGUAUUUUUGGUAUGAAUGAACUUUUAAGAGUGUAAGGAUUCUGGAAAAAUAAAUUUUACCUAAUUCCGAGAUGUGGGCACGAGGAAGAAUUUUGGUCAUUUUAUCUAAUUUCAUGUAUUAUCUUAGAAUCUCUUUGUAAAAUCAGUUACUUGAAGUGUUAUUUCUAUUAUGAAAUUGAACUGAAUAGAUUUGGGCCAUUUGGAGGCGAUUACUCGUGACAAGAGUGUGGUUUUAGAUUGAUUUGAGUUGGUUCGAGGUAAGGGGCUUGCCUAACCUUGUGUGGGGACCUUCCCCUUAGGAUUUGGUACAUUUGAUAAUUGAAAUGACUUACACGUGAAGUGAAGAGUGUAUACUUGAUCUAAUUGUUGAACAAUAAGAUUUUCUUUAAGUACUUUCAAUUUUGUUCCUUUUUCCUAUUCUUAUACUACUUUCAAAUUGAAGCAUGCUGUUGGCUUAGGAAAGCAUGUUUAAUUGACUAAAUUGGUUAUUUGUUUGAACUACCUUGAUCGUAUUAUGUGAAGCAUGUUAGGCUAGAAUUAUCUGUUUUACUCGGUAUGAAAUGGAUUUUAAAUGAGUAUUCUUCGUGUUACUACCGUGUGUUUUACUUUGGGACUAUGGGACGGUAUCUCCGGAGAUCCCCUGUAUGCAUUUAUAAUUUGAGCUGAGGUGGAGGAUACUGAGAGAUCCCUAGCAUACAUUGAGGGUACUAAGAGAUCCCUAGUUAUUAUCCUUGUUCGGAGUGGGAUUUCCUUGUGGGUGUCUUUAUCUCUAUUCCAGUUAUUGUGUUCCUUAUUAUCUUGUAUUAAAUUCUUGCCAUCAAUGUUUCAUUAUACUGCUUAUCUUAUUUUGUCAUCUCUUAUAUUUAUUCAAUCUCAAUAGGGCCCUGACCUACCUCGUUACUACCCAAUCGAGGUUAGGCUUGGCACUUACUGAGUACCACUAUGGUGUAAUCAUGCCCUUUCUGCGCAUGUUUUCCAUGUACAUAUCCAUGUACUUCGACUCAGUCCUAUCACCCUUCAGGCAAGGCGAUUGCUCUAGAAACUUCGAGGUAUAUCUAUCACGUCUGUAAUUGAGGAGCCCCUUUCCAUUCUAUCAUGUAGUUAUAGUCCUUCUAUCUUUUCUUGUGAUGUAGAUAUUCUGGAGUUAGAGCAUUUUUGUUAUAUUCGUAGAUUGUAAUUCAUGGGUUUCCGGAUUUUGGAAAAACUGUAUUAGUUUAUGAGAGUUGAUACUGUGUAUGCUAAGUGGCACUAUCAAAUGCUGUUUUAUUACAAUAUCUCUGUUUUAAAUUGUUUGUCUUUUCUUCUGCAAAUUAGGUUUAUCUUCCGCAUUUAAGGCUUACCUAGUCGUAGAGACUAUGUCCCAUCACGAUGGUUCACAGAGGACAAACCGGGGUCGUGACACCCUAGGUGCUCAGAAAGGACAAUCAACCGUUAGGCCAACACUGUUCAAAUAAAAAUACUACGGAUGGUGGACAGAAAGGAUGCGUGAUUAUUUGAGAAGAGAAGACCUGGAAUUCUAGGAAAUUGUUUGGAAGGG
rnacentral:lncRNA from 1 species